rnacentral:rRNA from 1 species
GACGAACGCUGGCGGCGUGGAUUAGGCAUGCAAGUCGAGCGAUAUCUUACCUUCGGGUAAGUGAAAGCGGCGAACGGGUGAGUAACACGUGAAUAACCUGCCCUCACAUUCCGGAUAAUAGACCGAAAGGUCUUGUAAUACGGGCGAGGAUUUCUCUUAGGCAUCUUAGAGAAAGGGAAGGCGCAAGCCGUGCGAGGAGG